rnacentral:rRNA from 1 species
GGCUGUGGCCAUACCAUCCUUAAUGCACCUGAUCUCGUCUGAUCUCAGAAGCUAAGCAGGGUCGGUCCUGGUUAGUACUUGGAUGGGAGAAAGUAAAGUUUCUAGCUC